GGGGGUGACCUGGUCUCGACGGGGGCAUCGAAACAGCGCGGGGCAUGCCGAGGCGUUCGUCCUCGUAAAAAACGGGCACUCGCAAACUUAACUGCGAACGACGAAACCUACGCUCUGGCGGCCUAAACCCGCCGGACCUCGCUCCGGGCAGCGUCCGGCCCGGGCGGUGAGCGGGUAACCGCGAGCCGCAGCGAGGACAUUCUGGACGAUCGCGCCCGGCCGGGUCACUUGGUCGAGGCGUCAAAUCAAGGUGACUGGCUCCCCCGCAGCCUGCCGGCCGGCGGCGAGGGGGCGAGAUCCAAUCGACACGGCUAAGCAUGUAGUCCCGACUGCGUAGGGUCUUCGGACGGCGGUUCGAUUCCGCCCACCUCCACCA
rnacentral:tmRNA from 1 species